rnacentral:tRNA from 1 species
GCGGAGGUGGCACAGCGGCUACUGCGGUCGGCUGCAACCCGGCUUUUCGUGGGUUCGAGUCCCACCCUUCGCU